UCACCUUCGCCUUGGAAAAACCAGUUUGUCUUUUUUAUUGUCUGUGAUCUACCUCUACUCUAAAAAUUCCACUGAACCUCGGACUACACUCCACGCUCUUUCCUUCCCAGCUGCCCUCAGCCCCUCUCCUCAACUCUGCUUCUCUUUGCUGUCCUCUCCUCCUUUCCUCCUUCCUUGAAGGGAAAAUUGCCGCUGCUCGGGACAACCUGUGCCCAGAGCUGCUUUGGCCUGCACAAGCCUGUUAAACUGGUGCUCUGCUCCCAUUCGCAGACUGCAAAUUCUUUUCUUCUCCUCUCACACACAUGACUCUUUAGCCAUCUCCCUGCUCUGUGUUACUAUUACAACAAAAAAUGAUUUGUUCUUUUCCAUCAAAUGCAAAGCCCGGCCCUGAUAUCUGAAGGUUGGGAGAUGCACACGUACAGUGACCUUGUCCUUCCUGCAGCACGCACCCCAGAGGGAAAGGAUCCCAAAUGUGGGCAAGGCUCUUGGCACACCGAAUUGAGGGGCCAAAGAAAUCAGUGCAUCAUGCGUAUCUGGAGGGUCCUCGACUUCUCCCAAGGCUGUGAUCCUGAAGACAGAUCUUUAUCCAGACCACGGGCCUGUGUGCAGGGCCCAGUUGCCGUGUGACAGGGCCUGAGAAGAAGGUCCAGGACCAUCCACGGGUUCUCUUGUCCUUCAUUCCACCGGAGUCUGUCUGCGGCAACCAGACUUCAGUGGAGUGAAGCUCAGGAGUCGUGGAGCUGCCGACGACAGUCACUGCAGUAGUGGUAGCAACCUCAGCUGAGUCACUCUGGCCUGGGAACGUGAGCACCCAUGAGGUGUGUGUCUGCUGGAAGACAUCUGGAGCGCAUGUUUUUCUGCAGAGGGGUGAAAAAUGGGCAGAUUGGAAACAGCACUGAGUUUCUUUUUUAAUAUCAAUGCUAUUGAAAUUAGUGUUUUCUAUGACAUGCUAAAAUUAAAAGUUGCCCAUCUGCUAUAAAAGUUCUCUGCCU